GCAAGAGGGAAGAGUUACCCGGGCUAGAGAGGACAGCGGGCCGCAGGUUUAGUCCUGGUUGUGGAGUGGGAUGCUGAGAUGGGUCUGGAGGGAUGCAGGAUGUUCUAGGCCGUUAGGAUGGUAAAUAGGGACCUCGCUCCGCGAGGGAUGCUGAACGGGGUCUGGAAGAAUGCAAGAUGUCCUGGUCCGGGCCAGGAAUGGUGUGAUGUGCAUGCUUUUAAUCCCAGCACUCAGGAGGCAGAGGCAAGUGGAUCUCUGUGAGUUCUUGGCCAACCUGGUCUAUAUGGUGAGUUCCAGGACAAGAAGGACUAUGUAGAGAGAAGCUGUCUCAGAAAAUAAAAA
rnacentral:lncRNA from 1 species